GACGAACGCUGGCGGCGUGCCUAAUACAUGCAAGUUGAGCGCUGAAGGUUGGUACUUGUACCAACUGGAUGAGCAGCGAACGGGUGAGUAACGCGUGGGGAAUCUGCCUUUGAGCGGGGGACAACAUUUGGAAACGAAUGCUAAUACCGCAUAAAAACUUUAAACACAAGUUUUAAGUUUGAAAGAUGCAAUUGCAUCACUCAAAGAUGAUCCCGCGUUGUAUUAGCUAGUUGGUGGGGUAAAGGCUCACCAAGGCGAUGAUACAUAGCCGACCUGAGAGGGUGAUCGGCCACAUUGGGACUGAGACACGGCCCAAACUCCUACGGGAGGCAGCAGUGGGGAAUCUUCGGCAAUGGACGAAAGUCUGACCGAGCAACGCCGCGUGAGUGAAGAAGGUUUUCGGAUCGUAAAACUCUGUUGGUAGAGAAGAACGUUGGUGAGAGUGGAAAGCUCAUCAAGUGACGGUAACUACCCAGAAAGGGACGGCUAACUACGUG
rnacentral:rRNA from 1 species